UACGUAGGGUGCAAGCGUUGAUCGGAAUUACUGGGCGUAAAGCGUGCGCAGGCGGUUGUGCAAGACAGAUGUGAAAUCCCCGGGCUCAACCUGGGAAUUGCAUUUGUGACUGCACGGCUAGAGUGUGUCAGAGGGGGGUAGAAUUCCACGUGUAGCAGUGAAAUGCGUAGAGAUGUGGAGGAAUACCGAUGGCGAAGGCAGCCCCCUGGGAUAACACUGACGCUCAUGCACGAAAGCGUGGGGAGCAAACAGG
rnacentral:rRNA from 1 species